GUCUACGGCCAUACUCCCCUGAACAAUCCCUAUUCUGUCUGAUCUCGGAAGCUAAGCAGGGUCAGGCCUGGUUAGUACUUGGAUGGGAGACCACCUAGGAAGACCAGGUGCUGUAGGCA
rnacentral:rRNA from 1 species